UCUCCCUCACAGGUGAUGUUGAAGGAAAGAGUGAGUCAAAAGCUGUACAGAAUGUAAAGCUCCUGAGGAAAAUUAGUGAUAUUAGGCUUUAUAAAUAAAAUUGACUUAACUUUUAUCUUGCAGGAAAACGCAAGCUUCACUUACGACAGACUUGAGCUCUUGUUUGCAGAAUGGAUUCAGUCUUUUCUGUGUUUGGAUCUUUUGUUAACUGGGAUGUCAGAAGUCUGCUGUUCUUCACUGCGGUUUUCAUCCUCGCUGCAGAUUAUCUAAAGAACCGUUUGCCGAACACCUAACCUCCAGGACCCUGGGCGAUUCCUUUUGUGGGCAACAUCACAAACAGAACUAGGAUCCCUCAGAUCAAAGAGACUACAUCGACUGCUACCUGAAUGAGAUUUACAAGGGUAAGGGGCAGGCUAACAACACUUUUGAUGAAGUAAACCUGAUUAUGUGUGGCUCUGAAACCACAGGCACCACCCUGCGCUGGGCUUUCCUCCAGAUGGCAAAGUACUCCUGCACCAUGUCAAUAUCAAGAUCAUGGAGUCAUGGAAGCAGCAGAGGCGUUUUGCAGUUUCCACUUUCAAAUAUUUUGGAUUUUGCAAGAAAUCUCUUGAGCCUGUCAUUCUGGAUUAAAUGAUAUAUUGUGCAAAAGGCUUCAAGAGCUUUAAAGCUCAUCUUCAUGAACGCUGUCUCCAACAUCAUCUCCUCUUUGGUUUUUGGUCAUCUAUUUGAGUACGGUGAAGAAAAAUUACUUGAAUUAUUGAAG